CAUCUGGUGUAAUAGUGGAGGGAGAUUCAGUGACUCUGAGCUGCAGCAGUGAUUCAAACCCUCCUGCAGAAAUCAGCUGGUUUAAAGGAGGAACGUUUGUAGGAUCUGGAAGAAUCUACAGCAUCUCAAAGAUCAGCACUGAUCACAGUGGAGAAUACAAGUGCAAGUCCAGAAAUAAACAUGGAGAGAAAGACUCUGAUGCUGUGACUUUAAUCUUCAUGUGUGAGUUUUAUUAAUCAUAUUCUAUAAUUGAACCACACAUACUUCUUCCUUAUUUGUCAGUAUAUAUUGUUUUAUCUAGUACUGUUAAAUAUUUAUUGUGUAUGUUUGUUUUUCAGCAGUCAGAUGUUUGUCGUCUGUUGCUACUGGUGUUGCUGUUGGUGUUUUACUCGGUGGAGCAACAGGUGCUUUUAUGAUGUACAUUUGGUAAGACGUUCCUUUCAUAAAUAACUGCUGUAUACUUGUUUACUACAUGUGCAUGUAUAUAACAUCUAAAAACUGCAGUUUUUUUCCAGUAAAGGAUGUGUGUGAUUUCAUAAAAUUAGGUUUAUUAAUGAAUCUUUGAAUAUUUCUAAACAACAAUAUUGUAAAAACCUGUGGUUGCUAUUUAAAUGUGCUGUUUAUUCAUCUUUUCUUCUGACAGUCUUACUAAAAGGAUGAACAGAAGAUCUGCUAUGAAGAAGUCUGCGGUCUCUGAUCCCAAUGAAGACACAUAUACUGCUCUUGAGCUCAAGUCCAUGACCUCUGACCUCUACGACACACUCACAGUAAGUGAGACGUCAAAGUCAGAUCAUCAUCACAGAUGAUCACAUGACCAUCUCUCGCUCUCUUCCACACAGACCGUUCGUCCCAGACCUCCUGAAGACUCUUGAUCCUAAACAUGAGAAUCCAUCAGUAAGUGUCUGAACUGCAGCUCUUCUUAGUAUAAUCAGUAAAACUCUCUUCAGUUCUAGUUUGAUUGUUUUAUGUAGCUUGUGAAUGGUUUUAUAAUAUUGUUGAGGAACUUCAGUCAUUCUUUCUUCAUCUUAUUAUUUGUUCAGAUCAACAGAAGAUGCUGCAGUGAGAGGCGGAGCACAAAUGGACAAAUGUUGCGCUAUGUUGGCGGAGCCACAUAUGAUUGACAGGUGCCAUUAGUGAACAUGAGCCACUAAGACCUUUAUAACUUUAUAGUUUAUAGGAAAGAUGAUGUAAAAGUGAAAUUAAAUAAUUUGAAUGUAUAGAAAUAUAUAUGUUAAAGAAGCUCACUGUUUUAACAUUUUAAAAUAUAUUUUCCUGCAAUAUUUCAACUGCGCACCUUCACAAUGGAAAAUGUAUUGUUUUAUGGUGUCAAGGUGCUCAGUAUUAUCAGCUUCUGUUAUUCUGUCUUUUGUUUUUCUGUAACUUUCCCUUUAAGUGAUCAGUUUUAUUUGUGAUCAUCUCAUAUGUUUAUACAAACCUUCAAAUUACCACCAGAGGUCACCAUCUCCUGCUCCUGACAUCAACACUGACGUGCAUCAGCUGUAAAUCAUCAUCAUGCAUCUUCAUGUGUAUAAUAUUUUAUCAUGUACUGUGUUUAAAGUCAUUAAUAUGUUUGUAUUAUAAUUCCUAAUGCAUACGUUCAGCAUCUGCUUUGGUUUCUUCAAUCUCUGUUUGCUGUAAUAGCGGCUCUUUACGUCAUUAUUAUUUGUAAGUGUUUGCUUGUAUUUCCUACUGCAGGACUCAUUUUUAUUUCGAAAAUUUAAAUGACAUCUAAAUGCGUUAUUUGAAUAUCAGUUCUGAUUGGUCAGUUUUGUAAUGAGAGGAGUUAAUUCCAUCAGCUCUGGCAUUCCUGAAAUAAUUAAAACUCAUUUGAGCUACAGCAAAUGAAAGAAAAGUUAAAUAAAAUUACUCCUUUCUGCA
ensembl:lncRNA